AAUAAUCUCAUUUUUUAUUUUUUCAUGUCCAACAUUUGAUCAUUCGUCUUAUUUGAAAAAUUUGUACAAAAACUUAAAAAAAUUAAUCAUGUAUAAAAUACUAUUUAUAUUUUAUCAUCUAGUAACAAUAAAAAUAUUAAUCGCAAAAAAUUUCAAAUAAGACGAAUGAUCAAAUGUUAGACACGGGAAAACAAAAAAUGAGGUUAUU
rfam:Oryza brachyantha chromosome 2, whole genome shotgun sequence.